GUCUGUAGUAACGGGUCUUCAGUCUGAAGUAACGGGGCUUUAGUCUGUAGUAACAGGUCUUCAGUCUGUAGUAACAGGUCUUCAGUCUGUA
rnacentral:lncRNA from 13 species